rnacentral:rRNA from 1 species
GACGAACGCUGGCGGCGUGCCUAAUACAUGCAAGUAGGACGCAGUUGCGAACGGGUGAGUAACGCGUAGGUAACUACCUAUUAGAGGGGGCUAACUAUUGGAAACGAUAGCUAAUACCGCAUACUAGUAGAUGGACCUGCGUUGUAUUAGCUAGUAGGUGGGGUAAUGGCCUACCUAGGCAACGAUCCAUAGCCGACCUGAGAGGGUGAUCGGCCACACUGGGACUGAGACACGGCCCAGACUCCUACGGGAGGCAGCAGUGGGGAAUCUUCGGCAAUGGGGGGAAGCCUGACCGAGCAACGCCGCGUGAGUGAAGAAGGUUUUCGGAUCGUAAAGCUCUGUUGUUAAGGAAGGGGAACUUAACCAGAAAGGGACGGCUAACUACGGGCAAGCAGCCGCGGUAUUC